rnacentral:rRNA from 1 species
GAUGGACGCUGGCGGCGUGCCUAAUACAUGCAAGUCGAGCGAACAGACGAGGAGCUUGCUCCUCUGACGUUAGCGGCGGACGGGUGAGUAACACGUGGAUAACCUACCUAUAAGACUGGGAUAACUUCGGGAAACCGGAGCUAAUACCGGAUAAUAUAUUGAACCGCAUGGUUCAAUAGUGAAAGACGGUUUUGCUGUCACUUAUAGAUGGAUCCGCGCCGCAUUAGCUAGUUGGUAAGGUAACGGCUUACCAAGGCAACGAUGCGUAGCCGACCUGAGAGGGUGAUCGGCCGCACUGGAACUGAGACACGGUCCAGACUCCUACGGGAGGCAGCAGUAGGGAAUCUUCCGCAAUGGGCGAAAGCCUGACGGAGCAACGCCGCGUGAGUGAUGAAGGUCUUCGGAUCGUAAAACUCUGUUAUUAGGGAAGAACAAAUGUGUAAGUAACUAUGCACGUCUUGACGGUACCUAAUCAGAAAGCCACGGCUAACUACGUG